UACGUAGGGUGCGAGCGUUGUCCGGAAUUAUUGGGCGUAAAGAGCUUGUAGGCGGUUUGUCGCGUCUGCCGUGAAAUUCCGAGGCUCAACCUCGGACUUGCGGUGGGUACGGGCAGACUAGAGUGUGGUAGGGGAGACUGGAAUUCCUGGUGUAGCGGUGAAAUGCGCAGAUAUCAGGAGGAACACCGGUGGCGAAGGCGGGUCUCUGGGAAGUAACUGACGCUGAGAAGCGAAAGCAUGGGUAGCAAACAGG
rnacentral:rRNA from 1 species